UACGAAGGGGGCGAGCGUUGUUCGGAUUUACUGGGCGUAAAGGGCGCGCUGGCGGUCUUGAAAGUCAGGCGUGAAAGCCCCGGGCUUAACCUGGGAAUUGCGCUUGAUACUCUGAGACUGGAGUACGGGAGAGGAGAGUGGAAUUCCCAGUGUAGAGGUGAAAUUCGUAGAUAUUGGGAAGAACACCAGUGGCGAAGGCGGCUCUCUGGACCGUAACUGACGCUGAGGCGCGAAAGCGUGGGGAGCAAACAGG
rnacentral:rRNA from 1 species